CAAUAGCGUAUAUUAAAGUUGUUGCAGUUAAAAAGCUCGUAGUUGGAUUUCUGGUGGGAGCGAUCGGUCUGGCGCUUAGCGCAAGUACUUGCAUCGUCUCCGGCCAUCCUUGGGGAGAGUCUGUCUGGCAUUAGGUUGUCGGGCAGAGGAUCCUCAUCGUUUACUGUGAAAAAAUUAGAGUGUUCAAAGCAGGCUUAUGCCGUUGAAUAUAUUAGCAUGGAAUAAUAAGAUAGGACUUUGGUACUAUUUUGUUGGUUUGCGCACCAAAGUAAUGAUUAAUAGGGACAGUUGGGGGUAUUCGUAUUCCGUUGUCAGAGGUGAAAUUCUUGGAUUUACGGAAGACGAACUACUGCGAAAGCAUUUACCAAGGAUGUUUUCAUUAA
rnacentral:rRNA from 1 species